rnacentral:rRNA from 1 species
GACGAACGCUGGCGGCGUGCCUAACACAUGCAAGUCGAACGGAGAAUUCAGCAAUGAAUUCUUAGUGGCGAACGGGUGAGUAACGCGUAGACAACCUACCUCUUAGAUGGGGACAACACUGCGAAAGUGGUGCUAAUACCGAAUGUUGUAUCGAGAAUGCAUAUUCUUGAUACUAAAGAUGGCCUCUAUUUAUAAGCUAUCACUAAGAGAUGGGUCUGCGUCUGAUUAGCUAGUUGGUGAGGUAAUGGCUCACCAAGGCGACGAUCAGUAGCCGGUCUGAGAGGAUGAACGGCCACACUGGGACUGAGACACGGCCCAGACUCCUACGGGAGGCAGCAGUGGGGAAUCUUCCGCAAUGGACGAAAGUCUGACGGAGCAACGCCGCGUGAGUGAAGAAGGUUUUCGGAUCGUAAAACUCUGUUUUCAGGGACGAAUGUGCGCAAUGUAAAUAAUGUUGUGUAAUGACGGUACCUGAGUAGAAAGCCACGGCUAACUACGUGCCAGCAGCCGCCGUAACAC